ACCAGAGCCGUAUCACCCUGCAGCUCUCGCCUGGUUUCCCAUUGAAGCUAAGCAGGGUUGAGCCUGGCCCUGUAUGGGACAUCUUCUGGGUAAAACUAAGGUUGCUGCUGGAA
rnacentral:rRNA from 1 species